GAACGAACGCUGGCGGCGUGCCUAACACAUGCAAGUCGAGCGCGAAACGGGGGGCGAACCCCCGAGUAGAGCGGCGCACGGGUGAGUAACGCGUGGGUAAUCUACCUCCGGGCGGGGGAUAACGACUCGAAAGGUCGCUAAUACCGCAUGAGACCACGGGGUCUUUGGAUCCUGAGGCCAAAGGUGGCAUCGGCUUGCCGGUGCUGUCACCUGGAGAUGAGCCCGCGUCCGAUUAGCUAGUUGGCAGGGUAAACGGCCUACCAAGGCUCCGAUCGGUAGCUGGUCUGAGAGGAUGGCCAGCCACACUGGAACUGGAACACGGUCCAGACUCCUACGGGAGGCAGCAGUGAGGAAUAUUGCGCAAUGGGGGAAACCCUGACGCAGCAAACCGCCGCGUGGGUGAAGAAGGCCUUCGGGUCGUAAAGCCCUUUCGGACGGGACGAACGCUUUGCGGCGACAAACCGCGAAGCUUGACGGUACCGUAGGAAGAAGCACCGGCUAACUCCGUGCCAGCCGCCGC
rnacentral:rRNA from 1 species